rnacentral:misc_RNA from 1 species
UCACCACUCAAGCCCGGCUUGUUGUUGGCGUCAGCGCGGCCUUAACGGUUGCGCUCCGCCUAAAGAUAAUGACGGCGUCUGUGAGGACUCCUGUACAUUGAGCUUUCGGGCACGUACAUGGUUAGAAGUCCAGGCGCCGGUCACCGUCCCUCGGGACACUUUUUACCAA